UGUGCUGCUUGAAGAUGUGCUGAUUGUUGCCAUCUUUAGUAGCUUGUGUUUUUCCCUUCCAAUCAUUUGUCUUUGGUGUUUUGUGUUAUGUUACAUGACAGAACAUAGUCUUUGCAGUUUAUUGCAGCCCAAAGGCCUUGUCACACUGAAAGGACAAAGUGCAAAGGUGUGAGUUGCACCCAGAAGACUGACUGCUGCUGUUGGGUGAGGGUGAGUUUGUGCUCCUAUGUGAGUGACUGCAGGACUGUGUGAUUCUUCAUUGCUUAUUUCUGUUGCUUAGAGAAGCAACCACAGAAAAUGCAUGCUUCCUUUCUUGUUUCAAGAUGGCCCUGACACCUCAACACCCACUUGCUACUGAGCACUGAUCCUUCAGGGAGGAAACAGCCCCAUAACCCUGGAGGGGCAGCUCUGCAGUUGCAUUUCCAGAGUAAAUAGAUAGGAUGCUGCAGUAGAAAUAAGUCAGGAAUGUCCCCUGGCAGCUGUAGCCAGUGCUCUCUCUUUGAUGCUCAGUGCCAGAUUGUCUUUCCCCAUCUUUAGUUUGUCACCCCAAAAGCUCCAGGUGCAGCAAGGGAUGUGUGCCCCACCAAAUAUGGAGUUUGGUGAUGCUGGUGAUGGUGCUGGUAGCCUGGAAGCAAAUCCAAGCCCUCUGGAGGGCGCGUUUCUCCACAUCCUGUGCCACCGGUGAUUGAUUGUCCCUUACACCCUUGUGUUUUUCUCUGCUCUCUCCUCGACAUCUGCAAAUCAAUGAGCUGAUGUUGAAGGAUGGGUUCAGGUGCCGGGGAGCGGGACACCCUGCCUGCCUCCUCUGAUCAAAGCUCUCCCCCGGACUUGACAAUCAAGGGCAGGCGGGGACAGUGCUGGAGGCGUCUGGUUGACCCUGGAGGUUGAACUUGGGCAGGGAGGUCAGGAUGGCAAGUGUGCCAGCCGCGGCGAGCGCUGUGCUGAGGGCUCUCAGGUGCACAUGGGCUCUGAAGGAUGUCAUUUGCCUUUCUAUUUUUUUUUAUCCCUUAUUCCCUUUAUUUUUCCAAGGGCUUCCCCUGGGAGCUGAAAGUGGUUUGAUCGACACUACAAAGAAAGCACAUGAGGGUAAAUAAGGCUUUCUUGCGGAGUUUAAUGCAAGCUGCCUUUCAGUUCCAGUCUAUUUUCACCAGCUGUUUACAAAAUGCCCUUUGCUACUGAAAUCAGCUUUCAGAAAAGCAGCGGAGUUUCGGUGGAGGAUUUUUGCAGAAGGAGCCCGAGUCUUGCUGCAUGCUGCUUUUCUUUUCCCUUCGCUGCACCUUGAGAAAGCAGCCAAUUAUAGUGUGAUAUAAAGAAACUCGAAUGGCAGCUAAAACACUUGACAGGCUGAUCAAAACAAGGCUAGGAACUUACUCUCAACCUGCUGCAGACAUAUUUAGCCUUGAGUGAUACUGGCAAAGGUUCAAGAGAAACCGCAGCAGCAUGCCCAAUGUGUGUUUGGUUUCUAAUCACUAACACUUCAUUAUACAAAAUAAAUACUUUAUUAUUACAGUGUUUAUUAAAUUACAUAAUUUGCGGCAUGCCUUAUAGUCAUGGAUGCAGACGCUGGUCUGGUUUCAGUGGUAAUAAUGUUCAUUUUUUCCUUAGUUAAAGACAUUUCGAGCCCCGGACCAAGGUUUGCUUGUUGCUCCCUGCAGUGCAGUGUUAGGAGGAGGCAUCUUUCAGGCCCUUCCACCUGCUUUUGGUAGCUGUCCAAGGAAAGGUUAAAAAUCAAGACUGUGGAGUAACCCCGGUGUCCUGACCAACAUCCACUUUCUUACUAAAACAGCAUCUGAUGUCUGCAGCUGCAUGCAAGCUACUGCUGAGGCCACAAGGGCUCAUUAAAGUGUAUUGGGAUGCCUCAAGCAUGAAAGUUGCUGCAUAAAAUCAGGCUCUUUUUAUUAAAUGAGGACAUCCAUUACUUUGCACUAGCUACUGUACAUGUUAUAAUUCACUUUAUAGCACCAUCUGUUAAGACUGUCUUGCUUAAGCUUUUCGUGGCAUCAUUUUAUUAUAAGUUAUUAAAAAAUAUGGCUGCAUCUAUUAAUCAUUUAUUAAUAAAGGGUUUAUAAAUGGGCCCUUAAUUUCCAGUGUUACAGUCUACUUGCAUGUGACAUGUUAAUUUCUCUGGUGUGUGUACUCCUCGGGGUGCAGUGUGUCUUCCCAGGGAGCCCUUACUGGGCUGCUGCCUGCAAUCCUGCCUGGAGACAAUGGGAGCAGCACCCAGCAUUCCUGCCUGUCCUUCUGGUGCUUCGGAAUGCUUGGGAAUGCCAAUGCUGAUCGGGGGGGAGACAUUUCAGCACUGUUGUGGGCAUGUGGACUUGGAACAGGCAUGAGAACAGCAGUGAGCCUGAAAGUGUGUUCCUCCCGGCAGCUGUGUGGGGCAGGGGUGGCUCUGAUGUUGGUUUUGGGUGUUUUUAAUUCAAGAGUGAGAACUGAGAGGGCAGAAACUUCCUUCAGAGCCAGAGCAGGCUCUGCAGCAUAAGUGUCCUUAAUCCUCCCAUCGUUUCUUCCAAGCUGAGUUUUUACUUCUCCAGCUGCACUGUCCCUGUUUGCAGGCAGCCAGCAUUUCCCAGCUGCUUCUGAACCUGUUUAAAAUGCCUGCUUUUUUGCUUAUGCAAGAACAGAAAAAUUUAAAGAUGCUGCAUUUGUACAUUUUUUUGUGCAAAUUGGCGGCCUGAGGAGAAGACAGUAAUGCCUCUGCUUAAGGAAGGAGUGCAAGGUGAGCCGUUUCCUCCUGGCCUUUUGAAGGCCCCUGUGAGCACUGGGGUUUGCACCGAGCAGGCACUACAGUUUCCAUUCACUAGUGACUCCCUCUUUCCAUCUCCCUUCCCUUCAUCAGUUCAGUGAUGGCCACUAAGACUGAGCACACCCUGCGGUGUGACUGUUAGUCGAUGGGAACGUCAGUGAGGUUGGAGAGUUUGACCCAGGGGAAGCCAGGCAUCCCCUGUGCCCAUGCUCUUGCUGUGACAAUCACACAUUGAUGGUCCCAUUCCAGAUGGACACCCUGUGAACAGGACCCUUUCAGAGUGAGUCAUGAGGUCAGUGUCUGCUUUGCAGGAUCCUCUGCUGAAGGCUUUUGGCUGAAGUGGAUCCACUCUGAGUGGGAACAGCUUCUCUUUGUCUUGGACCACCUCUGAUCUUGCCUCAAGAUGUUCUAAUAGCAAAAGGCUCCUUGUCAGCAUUUCGUAUUGAUAAACAUGAGAUCAGAUCCCAGGAGGUCUUUUAGUCUUAAGUGUGGAGUAGGAAAUAGAAGUGUUCAGAAACAUGAAGGAAAAAACCUUGCUCUGAUGAGUGUUGGGGGAAGCAUAUAGAAAUCUCAGCUCUGUGUGACCUAAUUGUGGCGUGUUCUGCCUGCUUGGCUCUGCUGGGCAGGUUUUGAGCUGUGGUGAGCUGCCUGCAGAAUGACAACACAGUCUGUGCCCUGCAACGGAUUCCACGAUAAAUAUGCCAAGAUGCAGAUUUACUGCCCUGAAGUUCCAAAAGGAGCUGUUGUUUUGGUGCCAGCGUUACUGCAUGUCUGACUUAAGGUGCCUCCGAGGAUCAAGCCCUUUAAAAAUCAUACC